UUUCUCUUUCUUCUUCUUUUCCUUCUUUUCUUUUCCUUUCUCUUUUUUCAAGUCUUUCUUUGAUUCUCCAAGAAGCCCUUUUGGACUGGUCUCAGGACCAAAACUAGAUUGAUGAGCAAGAGGAGAAAUUAUAUCAGAACCAAACUCUCCUCCUUUCUUUUUCUUCUUUCGAAACGACUUUACUCUUCGGAAUGAAAAUG
rnacentral:ribozyme from 13 species